rnacentral:rRNA from 1 species
GACGAACGCUGGCGGCGUGCUUAACACAUGCAAGUCGAACGGAAAGGCCCUGCUUUUGUGGGGUGCUCGAGUGGCGAACGGGUGAGUAACACGUGAGUAACCUGCCCUUGACUUUGGGAUAACUUCAGGAAACUGGGGCUAAUACCGGAUAGGAGCUCCUGCUGCAUGGUGGGGGUUGGAAAGUUUCGGCGGUGGGGGAUGGACUCGCGGCUUAUCAGCUUGUUGGUGGGGUAGUGGCUUACCAAGGCUUUGACGGGUAGCCGGCCUGGGAGGGUGACCGGCGACAUUGGGACUGAGGGACGCACCAGUAUCCUACGGGAGGCAGCAGUGGGGAAUAUUGCACAAUGGGCGGAAGCCUGAUGCAGCAACGCCGCGUGCGGGAUGACGGCCUUCGGGUUGUAAACCGCUUUCGCCUGUGACGAAGCGUGAGUGACGGUAAUGGGUAAAGAAGCACCGGCUAACUACGUG